GACGAACGCUGGCGGCGUGCUUAACACAUGCAAGUCGAACGGAAAGGCCCUGCUUUUGUGGGGUGCUCGAGUGGCGAACGGGUGAGUAACACGUGAGUAACCUGCCCUUGACUUUGGGAUAACUUCAGGAAACUGGGGCUAAUACCGGAUAGGAGCUCCUGCUGCUUGGUGGGGGUUGGAAAGUUUCGGCGGUUGGGGAUGGACUCGCGGCGUAUCAGCUUGUUGGUGGGGUAGUGGCUUACCAAGGCUUUGACGGGUAGCCGGCCUGAGAGGGUGACCGGCCACAUUGGGACUGAGAUACGGCCCAGACUCCUACGGGAGGCAGCAGUGGGGAAUAUUGCACAAUGGGCGGAAGCCUGAUGCAGCAACGCCGCGUGGGGGAUGACGGCCUUCGGGUUGUAAACCGCUUUCGCCUGUGACGAAGCGUGAGUGACGGUAAUGGGUAAAGAAGCACCGGCUAACUACGUG
rnacentral:rRNA from 1 species